GUGACAGGUGGUGCAUGGUNGUCGUCAGCUCGUGUCGUGAGAUGUUGGGUUAAGUCCCGCAACGAGCGCAACCCUUGAUNUUAGUUGCCAGCAUUCAGUUGGGCACUCUAAGAUGACUGCCGGUGACAAACCGGAGGAAGGUGGGGAUGACGUCAAAUCAUCAUGCCCCNUAUGACCUGGGCUACACACGUGCUACAAUGGAUGGUACAAAGGGNUGCGAGACUGCGAAGUUAAGCGAAUCCCAUAAAACCAUUCUCAGUUCGGAUNGCAGGCUGCAACUCNCNNGCAUGAAGCNGGAAUCGNUNGUAAUCGCGGAUCAGCAUGCCGCGGUGAAUACGUUCCCGGNCCUUGUACACACCNCCCGUCACACCACGAGAGUUUGUAACACCCGA
rnacentral:rRNA from 1 species